rnacentral:rRNA from 1 species
UACAGAGGUCCCGAGCGUUGUUCGGAUUCACUGGGCGUAAAGCGUCUGUAGGUGGUUUAAUAAGUCAACUGUUAAAUCUUGAGGCUCAACCUCAAAAUCGCAGUCGAAACUAUUAGGCUAGAGUAUAGUAGGGGUAAAGGGAAUUUCCAGUGGAGCGGUGAAAUGCGUAGAGAUUGGAAAGAACACCGAUGGCGAAGGCACUUUACUGGGCUAUUACUAACACUCAGAGACGAAAGCUAGGGUAGCAAAUGGG